AAGACUAUACUUUCAGGGAUCAUUUCUAUAGUUCAUUACUAGAGAAGUUUAUCUGAACGUGUAAAAAUGCAUGGAAACAAAUGAAAAUGGGAACACAAUGGU
rnacentral:snoRNA from 1 species